UAGCUCAUUCUAGCAACAUGUAUAUACUUAAAAGAGUACAGAGAUUAGCAUGUCCCUGCCCAAGGAUGACAACCAAAUUUGUGCAUUGUUCUGUGUCAUG
rnacentral:snRNA from 1 species